rnacentral:rRNA from 1 species
CAGUCGCCGCGGUAAUACGUAGGGUGCAAGCGUUAAUCGGAAUUACUGGGCGUAAAGCGUGCGCAGGCGGUUAUAUAAGACAGAUGUGAAAUCCCCGGGCUCAACCUGGGAACUGCAUUUGUGACUGUAUAGCUAGAGUACGGCAGAGGCGGAUGGAAUUCCGCGUGUAGCAGUGAAAUGCGUAGAUAUGCGGAGGAACACCGAUGGCGAAGGCAAUCCCCUGGGCCUGUACUGACGCUCAUGCACGAAAGCGUGGGGAGCAAACAGGAUUAGAUACCCGAGUAGUCCCUGUCUCUUAUAA